rnacentral:rRNA from 1 species
GAUUGAACGCUGGCGGCAUGCCUUACACAUGCAAGUCGAACGGCAGCACGGAGCUUGCUCUGGUGGCGAGUGGCGAACGGGUGAGUAAUAUAUCGGAACGUACCCUACAGUGGGGGAUAACGUAGCGAAAGUUACGCUAAUACCGCAUACGAUCUAAGGAUGAAAGUGGGGGAUCGCAAGACCUCAUGCUCGUGGAGCGGCCGAUAUCUGAUUAGCUAGUUGGUAGGGUAAAAGCCUACCAAGGCAUCGAUCAGUAGCUGGUCUGAGAGGACGACCAGCCACACUGGAACUGAGACACGGUCCAGACUCCUACGGGAGGCAGCAGUGGGGAAUUUUGGACAAUGGGCGAAAGCCUGAUCCAGCAAUGCCGCGUGAGUGAAGAAGGCCUUCGGGUUGUAAAGCUCUUUUGUCAGGGAAGAAACGGUGAAAGCUAAUAUCUUUUGCUAAUGACGGUACCUGAAGAAUAAGCACCGGCUAACUACGUGCCAGCAGCCGCGGUAAUACGUACGGUGCAAGCGUUAAUCGGAAUUACUGGGCGUAAAGCGUGCGCAGGCGGUUUUGUAAGUCUGAUGUGAAAUCCCCGGGCUCAACCUGGGAAUUGCAUUGGAG